CCUACGGGAGGCAGCAGUAGGGAAUCUUCCGCAAUGGACGAAAGUCUGACCGAGCAACGCCGCGUGAGUGAAGCAGGUCUUCGGAUCGUAAAACUCUGUUGUUCGAGAAGAACAAGCACGUUAGUAACUGAACGUCCCUUGACGGUAUCUAACCAGAAAGCCACGGCUAACUACGUGCCAGCAGCCGCGGUAAUACGUAGGUGGCAAGCGUUAUCCGGAUUUAUUGGGCGUAAAGCGAUCGCAGGCGGUUUCUUAAGUCUAAUGUGAAAGCCCCCGGCUGAACCGGGGAAGUGCAUUGGAAACUGGGAGACUUGAGUGCAGAAGAGGAGAGUGGAAUGCCAUGGGUAGCGGUGAAAUGCGUAGAUAUAUGGAGGAACACCAGUGGCGAAGGCGACUAUCUGGUCUGUAACUGACGCUGAGGCUCGAAAGCGUGGGUAGCAAACAGGAUUAGAUACCCUAGUAGUC
rnacentral:rRNA from 1 species